ensembl:snRNA U6 U6 spliceosomal RNA
GUGCUUGCUUGGGCAGUGCAUAUAUAAAAUUGGAACGAUACAGAGAUUGGCCUGGUCCCUGUACAAGGAUGACACGCAAAUUUGUGAAGCGUUCCAUAUUUUG